GCCAACGUGGCAUAAUGGUUUGAGUGUUAGACUUUGACUCUGAAGACCAGGGUUUGAGUCCCCUCUUGGCC
rnacentral:tRNA from 1 species